UCAACCAAGCGUGCGUUUCACGUGUCACGUGCUCUUGCUGUCCUCCUCGCACACCUGUAUUUCGCGUGCGCCCCACUUCAACCUGAACCGAUGAGCUCUGUUCUCUAUACGCUACAUCUUCGGAUACUACUAUCCUGUUGUUAAACAUAUGCAUUAUAGACGCGCUGUGUUGACAUUUUCUCCAUAUUUAUGACUCUAAUAGGAUUAUAACGUACGUCAUUCUAAUAGGAUUAGAAAUGUCUGCUUUAUAAGAUGAAAUGUCAACAUCGAAAGUCGACUUCGAUAGUCAGUUUCGAUUGUCGAGAUGUCUCGUUCGCAAUAACAGAUUUAUAUCGCAUGUGAAAUUUCGUAAACGUGGUUGGCGUUUUUCGAAGACUAAGUUAUGUAGUUGGUUUCGUUUAUUAGAGUUUGUUACGUUUAUAAGUGUAUUACGGUAACUGUGAAAUAAAUAGCGCGCUACGCGUAAUGUGUCUACUGUGGAAUGUGACUUUGAUCGUGCGGAGAAAGGUAUCCGUGAACUUGUUUUCAUGCGCUGCUGAACCACGUGUUUUGGGAACGGGCACGCGCCCCUGUGUGUUUAGUUGCACGACUUUUUGCUACUCCGCUUCUCUUGUAAGGAGCAUCAUGUAUACAUAAAAGGCCAUUUAUCUGUCAAUUUUGUUUUGGAGAAAUCGUAAGUAAUGAUUUUUAUUAUAGCUUUUCAAUUAAAAGUUAGGUUCUUAUAAAAUAUAGUAGACUGAUUGAGAUCUAUAACUGGAUUGCGGAUGUUUAUGUAAAUUCAUAUUUUGAUCAAUACAUUGCAACCAAUACAUAUAAGGAUAAAUCUUAUUAGUUUAUUUUGCAUAUUUUGUACGUUUUUAUACAGUAUACGCAUUAUAUGCAUUUUCACACGUUCAAAUAUUCCGUAAAAGCAUAAACGCCCACAAUGAAUUUAUUACACAGACGCCGAAUCGCGAUUCGAGGAACUCCUAUUCCCUUUCUAGUGAUUUGCUUCACGUUAUAUUAAUUCAUUAUCGUGUAAACAAAGUAUAUACCGGCUGUCACCAUAAAAUUAAAGAUACACGUUCUAAAUCCAUAAAAUUAAUAGAAGUUGAAAUUACAAACUAUAAAAUUACUGGUAUAACAUGAAUUGCGCGCACGCUAUCUUCGAAUAUAAAUUUCAAUCGUGAAAAAUGAAAAUGGUUAGAACAACUCCGAUCAAAUCGUAUAAAAUGAUAAUCGCGUAUUUAUACGAAACACGAGGUGAAAAUACACUCGAUUCUUUCGCAAUGUGUUUUCGUUAAGGAUCUAUCUUUUUGCGUGUAUCCCAUUUUCGACCGACCAUAGAAGAUUCGAAUCGAUGAAAACCGCGCGUUGUUCGCGAUUGUAUUUUCAUAAGAGAAGUGUACGGUGGAUAAAAAGUGGCCUCGCGUUUUAGUGAUUUCACGAGCCGGGAAACAAAUAAAGUGUUUGCACUACCACGCGCGGCCUUGCAUAGCGCUGGUUCGAUUCUUAUUGCCCACCGUGUUCUCGUGUUCGACGGGAUUGCAAAAGAAAUUUACGGUAAACUGUGGAUAGUAUCCGAACGAUCUACGCUUCGAUGAAAUCUGUUGUUGCUUUAAAGGACGUAGCCUUAUCGAUCAGGAUCGCGGUACAAACGUUCGUUUCCAAUAGUAUCGGGACGAAAGAUAGGAAGACGCAGCGUGCUACUUGAUUUUACAAUUCGACGAGUUAUCCAUGAAACUUUCCUUCGAAGCGUUCCGAGUUUCCCGCUUCUUGUCCAAAUGGAAUUUCCUACGCUAAACUUAUUCCAUUCGAGCGAAGAAAGGAAACACAAUACAGAGGAACAUGAAAGAGACAGAAAUACGUGCGAGAGUUUGAGAGGCAAAAAGAAUGGUAGGGGAGGCGAGAGACCAGGCGUUUGAUAUUUGAGAGAAGGUGUACGGAGACAAGAUUAUAGUGUUUUUUUUUGUCGAUAGGUUCUUUUGUGACGUGGGGUAUUUGCAAUAUCGGUAUUUCGAUUGGCUAUUGCAUGAUCAAAGUCUUCAGUUUAAUCGAUCGAUUAGCUGUCACGAUUAAAAGAAGUUAAAUUGGCAUAUUAAUAUAAAAGUAAUAAUAAUAAUUACUUCUUAAGAAAUGAAACCAAUGUUACAAGGUUAUAAUAUAUUCUCAGCUAUUUGUUGCGUUUGUACAAGUUGAUCUUCGUUUCAUUUGAUCAUAGUCAUACAUAUUGAAAGUUUGAUGCUUUGACUAUCAAAGUUUACUUUCUUUUCACGGACUUUCACAGUUCUUUUCUGUAGCCAUUGAAUACUCGCAGAAUACUCGACAUCAACCAAAAGGUUACGGCAACCACACGAACUCUAUUGUGCAUUUCAUAAUCCGAAGUUGGUAAGCGUAACGAACCUUGUUUACGCAAGCGAUACUGCCUUUAGUAUCAGAGAGUCUUUGAUCUUGUAUAAUUUUUUUGUUAAAUAUAUAUAUUUCUAAGCAUUCGUUGAAAAUACGUUUCAAAGAAGAAUUCAUUUAGGCUUAUGAAGACGUCGCGAAUUUAUCUUUGAUGUAUGAAUUAUGGACGUAUAUUCAUUAUUCACAUUAGGUAUUGUAAUCUGCCGUUAUCGUGAAAUACGUUCGCAGAAAUUCGAGUACUUCGUAUACGUACAUUGAUACAUACUAUAGCGCUAUAUGCAACUUGUGUGUCGUGUAUUCACAGUGGACUGGAACGUAUAUUAAUUGGUAACCAGACCUUGAUGUAGGUCAAAGCAGCGCUUAAUAUCCAUAUCUAUUGGUCAAUUUACAAUACCAUUGCGCGUAAUGGUCGAAUAUAAAUCUGUUUUUAUCUCAUGCAUAAAUAGAAAUUUAUUUCAGUAAGUGUUUUUUUUUUCAUAUUUCUCGUUUGUCAAUGAAUACUUGAGUUCUAAAAUUCACUGCAAUAACAGCGAAUGCUGGUUCUUUACUUAGUAAAUUGUUCAUAGUUAAAAUUUUGGAUCUAGCGAAUUCUAAAGUUGAUAACAAUUAUUCAAUCACAAGCAUAUCUUUGGUAUGAUAUAUUUCUGUGUAGGAUACUUGGUCAUAUGAACGUUGUCUACAGGUUGUCACACAAAUCAGCCUACAUUUAGCGGAAAUACAACCUACAUAUUCUGCUUUUCUUAAAAGAAACUAAACGAUAUCGAUUUAGAAAUCUUUCAGAGGAUUUCAUGAACAACAUUUGUGCAACUUACUGUCAUACGAAUAAUAUACUAAUAAUAAUUAUCAUUAAUAUGUAAUAAUAUAUAUUAUAAAUUUCCUUUGUAUUCUUAACUUCGUUCUUGCUUUUUAUAUGACUAUUAUAUUUCUAUGUAUAACAAUUCUAUAACACGAUAUAGAGAAAUCAAUAGAAUCGUAACGGUCAUUUAAAUGGGAAUAUUUUCUUUUAUAAAGAUACUAUUAUAGACAUAGAUAUAACUAUAAAUUAAGAUAGAUAACAAAUAGGUAGACUGUAAAAAAUACAGUAAAAUAUAGUGAAAUAGAAAAUGUAGUAAAUUGCACUAAAGCAGAGGAUGUCUGUUUUUGAAAGAUCACAUUAGAGUGAUCACAUUAGAGAAAUGCAGUAUUAAUUUAGAAACGGGGAUGUUAGGUGUAUUUGUAGGAGCAUGUAUGUCCCCAAAGAGACUGGAAGAUGCUAAUAGGUGCUGAGACAGUGAUGUGAAUCGAAGGUGCGCUUCCAAUAUCCGUCUUCAUUAGUCAGAUCGCAACACGAACUGCCUUCGGAAAUCUAGAUGGGUUGCGAUGCUCUGGGUAGCUUGGUACUAGUACUUGGAUACGCAGGUACAACUGGAGGGCACGAACCAUCGUGAAUUCGAGAUUCUGAAUUCGAAUCGAUUGGUUGGUUCUCCGGGACACCCGUUCGCUCGUCUAAUCAGAUCCUGUUUGUAGGCGGGCCACGAUCAAGCCCUCCAGGCUGGAAAAUCGAAGGGGUCGAAACUGUACGUAGCUAUACCGAACAAACCAAAUACGCUAACAGAACAAAAGGUUGGUUACAUACAACACACGGGGCUUCGACUUUGUCUCCUAUUUCUUCUCCGUCUCUGCGUAGCUUCAUCAAAUUUUUCCACUUUUUGGUAGAAUUCUGAAUGCACAGGUUCUCUUUUUUUUAAAACCUCCUUUGAUAUUUGAAAAAUACGCUGUCUAGUCAUUAUACUUUCGUUUCUAUGUAUCAAGUAGCGUUUUUCAAUCGAAUUAAAAUGCUUUGCAAAAGUGCAGUUUCUUAAUAUUGAUAUACCAUGACUGCAGAAAUAUUCGAUGUAGUGAUUCACUAUCUUUUUUUUAAUGCCGCGUAAAUUGUCUAUAAACGGUAGAAAGCAAUUGAUUGUAGAUUUAAACUUUCACAGAAGCGGUAAAUAUUACACUGAUUCGCUUGUACGUAAGGCGAUGACCGAUUUCAACGGAAAAUAAAAGAAUUCUGAACGCAAGAAUUUGAAAAAGAAAUUAAUUUAGAAUUUUACUAUGUUCGACAAGUCAGCCGACAAAUCCAAGUAAAGGGGUGAUUCAAUGUUGGUACAGCUGGAAAAGUGAUUGCAAAUUUCUGGUCAAUACUUUAUAUUUCAAAAAACCAAUUGAUGUAGAGUGAAACGUAAAAUAAAUGUAAAAAAUGAGACGGUACCAGUAUUUUAUUCACCUUUUGAAAUUUACACGAUGUCAUUUCGAACAUUGCUGGUCGGCUAUCAACAUGAUAUUAGACUUAUUUUACCUAAGUCGUAAAUAUUCGUACGCAUGAUGAUUGCGGUGGCUCGUUCGUGCCAUGAAUUUCAAUAUAUUAGCUAGCAGACCGUUUUGAAGGAGGACUGAAUACCAAUAGUUCGUCAACCUACUGCCUUACAUACAGCUAAUUGUAAGUUCAAGCGUCUAGGAUACCAUUUGAGUUGCAGUUACGACUGUCGAACGAUACUAUACGCGUCUUAUUUUGCCUCAAUUUUCUCAUUUUUUCCAGCUUCUGCGAACAAAAAAAAAUUUUAUUCAUGAAAUUUUUUAUUGAUAGAAAUUAGUUGUAGAAUGUAUAAAAAUAAAUUUCUGUGUUUCAUUUGCGUAUAAUAGUA